AAGAUAAGUGCCUCUCAGACUAGCCUCAGACGACGCCUACAAUCCCAUUUGUAGGAUAUAAUCAAUACAUAGUAUAUAUAUAAACUUUAGUAACCAAAGUUUAAUUAAAAACCCUGCAUAAAGGGUUUUAGGCAAGUCAUCCUUGGCUAUCAGAGUAGGCACUUUAUCU
rnacentral:pre_miRNA from 1 species